rnacentral:rRNA from 1 species
UACGUAGGGUGCAAGCGUUAAUCGGAAUUACUGGGCGUAAAGCGUGCGCAGGCGGUUUUGUAAGUCUGUUGUGAAAUCCCCGGGCUCAACCUGGGAAUGGCAAUGGAGACUGCAAGGCUAGAGUUUGGCAGAGGGGGGUAGAAUUCCACGUGUAGCAGUGGAAAUGCGUAGAUAUGUGGAGGAACACCGAUGGCGAAGGCAGCCCCCUGGGUCAAAACUGACGCUCAUGCACGAAAGCGUGGGGAGCAAACAGG